GAUGAACGCUGGGCGGCGUGCUUAACACAUGCAAGUCGAACGAAGUGGAGAUCUUCGGAUUGAAACUUAGUGGCGACGGGUGAGUAACGCGUGGGUAACCUGCCUCGUACAGGGGGGAUAACAGUUAGAAAUGACUGCUAAUACCGCAUAACCCGCUAAGGUCGCAUGACCUGGACGGAAAAGAUUUAUUGGUACGAGAUGGGCCCGCGGCGCAUUAGCUAGUUGGUGAGGUAACGGCUCACCAAGGCGACGAUGCGUAGCCGACCUGAGAGGGUGAUCGGCCACAUUGGGACUGAGACACGGCCCAGACUCCUACGGGAGGCAGCAGUGGGGAAUAUUGCACAAUGGGGGAAACCCUGAUGCAGCAACGCCGCGUGAGUGAUGACGGCCUUCGGGUUGUAAAGCUCUGUCUUCAGGGACGAUAAUGACGGUACCUGAGGAGGAAGCCACGGCUAACUACGUG
rnacentral:rRNA from 1 species